UACGAACUGUGCGAACGUUAUUCGGAAUCACUGGGCUUACAGGGUGCGUAGGCGGCUUGUUAAGUAGGGUGUGAAAGCCCCCGGCUCAACCGGGGAAUGGCGCCCUAAACUGGCGAGCUAGAGUGAGAUAGGGGUGCGUGGAACUUCCGGUGGAGCGGUGAAAUGUGUUGAUAUCGGAAGGAACGCCGGUGGCGAAAGCGACACACUGGAUCUUGUCUGACGCUGAGGCACGAAAGCCAGGGGAGCGAACGGG
rnacentral:rRNA from 1 species